rnacentral:rRNA from 1 species
UACGUAGGGUGCGAGCGUUGUCCGGAUUUAUUGGGCGUAAAGGGAGCGCAGGCGGUGACUUAAGUCUGAUGUGAAAGCCCACGGCUUAACCGUGGAAGGUCAUUGGAAACUGGUCGACUUGAGUGCAGAAGAGGGAAGUGGAAUUCCAUGUGUAGCGGUGAAGUGCGUAGAGAUAUGGAGGAACACCAGUGGCGAAGGCGGCUUCCUGGUCUGUAACUGACACUGAGGCGCGAAAGCGUGGGGAGCAAACAGGAUUAGAUACCCG